rnacentral:lncRNA from 1 species
AUUGCCUUCUCCUUUCUUGCAUCCUAUUUUGGUUCCUGCAUUGACCCCCAGCCAGCCCAGGUCUCCCCUCAGGCUGAGCUCAGAAGCCUCCCGCUCCCGGCCCUGCUGAGCCAUGUCGAGAUCUGGGCACACAGGGAGACAGGAAGCCUUGUGGACUGGGCGAUGAGAAAAGGAACCGCUGCAUAAUGUACGCUCACCAUGUGCCAGGCUCUGUGCUGAAUGCUCCACUUCCAUCGUCUGUUAAGUCUCAUGAAGUAGGUGGCGUGUUCGCUCCGUUCCGCAGAUGAGGAAACAGGCGCGGGCUCUUCACCUUCUUGCUCAGUCAUGACACUCAUGGAAACGUCAUAACUGAGUUUAAAUCUGGGUCUUGGAGCUUCCCGGGUCACUCUCUUCACACCAGCCUGCAGCACUGCUUGGGAGCGGUGAGCACCCAGGCAAGCAGUGAUUAGGUGCUUGCCUGAUCCUCCCACCUCACCUCCCUGAUCACCUCCUCCUCUUCCUCCCUACACCCAGAGCAAUGGCUCCUGUCGAGUUCCUCCCUCUAGGGCCCAAGGGGUUCAGUGAAUCUAAUUGGAAGCAGCUUUUUAGUCCUGUGACCCAGAGGCUUGCUGAGGGCGUGGGGAGGGGACCAGAUUGUGGAGAGCCAGGCCUGAGGCCAGCAGAGUCUAUUGCGCAACCUGCAGGCUGCACAGCCCCAGCCCUGGGGGUUGCAUUUCUCCCUUUACCUUUUCCCCAUUCAAUUCACAAUAGCGGUCUGGUGGCAGACACCACAUUCCUGGCACUGUGGAGGCUAAGUCACCAAGAGGGCCGCACACUCCCUCAUAGAGCUGCUCAGAGCUCUCUCCACCGUGGCCCGGGGCUCAGGCUUCAAAGUGGAGGGCCUCUUCCUCUCUUGCCUCUCCCUUCUUGGAGGCAUGGGUUCCGGAGUGGGCACUACGUUUGUCGUUAGUUGCACUUGGGUUCAAGCCAGGUUUGGGGGCACAGGAAGAUAUGGUGGCUAUUCAACUAUUCAACCCGCCCCCUCAAAUAAAAUCCCACUAUGACUGAAAAUAAAUCCUAUUAUUUGUGAAGUCCUCCCCAUUUCACUCAAAGUAAAACACCAAAGGCUUUACAAUGGCCUACGCAGGACUACAAAGACCUCCGAGUCUUGCCUCUCUGGACGAAUCUUCUUUCUUUUCUUUCUUUCAUUGCUCACGCAACUCCAGCCUUGCUGACUUCCUUGCAGUUCCUGCCCCAGGGCGUUUGCACUUGUCACUCCCUCUGCCUGGAGCAGGUUCCCUCAGACACCCAUAUGACUCACUCACCUCUUCACUCUUAGUCCCACCUGCAGCCUCUGCAGUGGCUUUUGCUAUUUCUUCACUUUAUUUUUUUCUCCAUGGUGCUUACUACUAAAAUGCCACAUAACUUGUUUAUUUACUUUGUUGUAUCAUUUCUGUUUCUCCAUUAGAAUGUAAGCUGCAUAAGGGUGGAUUUUUUGUUCCGUUUGUUCAGCAGUGCCUAGCACAGAGCAGGCAUGAGAAAAAUGUUUGUGGAAAUGAAUUGAAAUUGAAUUAAAAUAGUCAUAAGGAUGUCCAGAAUUCUAAUUUCUCCCAUGACUUCCCUGAAGUUUCCGUAUCAAAUUAUUUGAAACCCACG